UUAACCUGAUACACCACUUAACCUUUUGUUUAUGGCUCCUCAGAAGGACUGUGAAAACAGAAUAAUGAGGACAUCAGCGGCAAUUAAUUAAGUUAGAAAAUACCUACUAUAAAUACCGUCUCAGCAGAUAAACCAGGACUAGUAAAGCAAAGUUCGAGCUAGUGCGAUUGCUCAGGAUGCUGAUCAGAACUACGACUAUGCCAGUAACAGCGUGGUGCUUCACUUGGAGCCAGGAGACGAAGUUUACAUUAAAUUAGAUGGAGGAAAAGCACAUGGAGGAAACAACAACAAAUACAGCACAUUUUCUGGAUUUAUUAUUUAUGCUGACUGAUAAUGAGUAAAAAGACCCACCAAACCAGUCCAAAAAUGAAGCCUGCUCUUCUAAGUGAUGGAUUUGCGUGGCAAAAGUCAAUGAAACAAGUACCCCAGCAGAGAGCGACCACCAAACACCUCAGUAGCGGGGGAAAAAAGUCAAAUGCUACCUGAUUCACAUCUGUACAACACAGAGAAAUCUUAUGUUAAAAAAAUGACAAAACAAGCUCAACAGGUGUGCGAUCCACUACCGCCAAAGCAAAUACUUCCUCAUUGUUAGUGUCCAUGUGAAUGAAGUUCUACAUAGAUCAGAUUUUUAUAGGAAAAAAGCCCACCUAAGGACGCUGAGUUAUUUCUUCAGUGUAUAUGAUACUUUGAUGUGUUAUGAUCUUGCUGCUUUAUCCAUACUUCAGCUUUGGUUCUUGUGACUUACUUGCUAACAAUGAUGCUUGGAGUCCACUGAUAGUGUGGUGAGGAAUGAUUUUACAAUAAAAGGAAGAGGUAAUCAAAA